UGUUAACUUACUAUAUGACAUUGGAUGGAGAGAUACAAGGUUAGUUAGAAUGAUAGUGCUAAGUAGUGGAUUUGAUGGUAAGUGGAAUAAUAUUUGAUCUAAGGGCUAUGAAUAAUCAAGGAAUAUAUCCAAGAACUAAAAAUUUAGAAGCAUUAUGGGGUUGGUGCUUCUAAAAAUAUUCUAGCUCAACUCUCUCUCUCUCUCUCUCUCUCUCUCUAUAUAUAUAUAUAUAUAUAUAUAUAUAUAUAGAGUAGGGCUACUGUGCAAUUAGAAGCACAGCAGUUCUUGUGCUCCUAAGUUUUUAACCACUCAUCAAAUUUGAAGGGUGGUUUGGGUGAAUGAGAGAAGAGAAAUUGAAGGAAAAUUCAAAGAGAAGAGAAAUUGAAAAAUCCAAUUUCUCUCCAAUUACUCUUCUUUCCCAUCAAAUUUGAUGGGUAGUUAAGAACUUAGCAGCACAAGCGCUGCUGUGCUCCUAAUAGCACAGUAGCCCUACUCUCUCUCUCUCUCUCUCUCUCUCUCUCUCUCUCUCUCUCUCUCUCUAUAUAUAUAUAUAUAUAUAUAUAAUAAGUUGGGCCGAAAUACUAUUGAUAGUAUUUGAUCCCUUUUGCUAUCGUUUUUAACUCUUGGAUAAGAAAUUAUAUGGCUAGGAUAAUAUAGUCUCUUAAGACUAAAUG
rnacentral:lncRNA from 1 species